rnacentral:pre_miRNA from 1 species
AAUGUACUCCCUCCGUCCGAAAAUACUUGUCAUCAAAAUGAAUAAAAGGGGAUGUAUCUAGAUGUAUUUUAGUUCUAAAUACAUCCCUUUUUAUCCAUUUUGAUGACAAGUAUUUUCGGACGGAGGGAGUAUCUA